UAAACCAUUGAUAAGUACUCUAGGGUGCUUGAAUCAAGGAUGUUGAUUAAACUAUAUGACUCUGAGGUCCAU
rnacentral:snoRNA from 2 species